GGGGCCUACGGGAGGCAGCAGUAAGGAAUAUUGGGCAAUGGACGAGAGUCUGACCCAGCCAUGCCGCGUGCAGGAAGACGGCGUUCUGCGUUGUAAACUGCUUUUAUCUGGGAAGAAAAAGUCCAUGCGUGGAAAAUUGCCGGUACCAGAUGAAUAAGCACCGGCUAACUCCGUGCCAGCAGCCGCGGUAAUACGGAGGGUGCAAGCGCUGUCCGGAUUUAUUGGGUUUAAAGGGUGCGUAGGCGGCUAAUUAAGUCAGCGGUGAAAGUUUUGGGCUUAACCCAGAAAUUGCCAUUGAUACUGGUUAGCUUGAGUAUUGGAGGGGUACAUGGAAUUGAUGGUGUAGCGGUGAAAUGCAUAGAUACCAUCAGGAACACCGAUAGCGAAGGCAUUGUACUGGCCAAUAACUGACGCUGAUGCACGAAAGCAUGGGUAGCGAACAGGAUUAGAUACCCUGGUAGUCCAUGCCGUAAACGAUGAUUACUCGCUGUUAUGCCCUUGUGGUGUAGCGGCCAAGCGAAAGCGUUAAGUAAUCCACCUGGGGAGUACGCCGGCAACGGUGAAACUCAAAGGAAUUGACGGGG
rnacentral:rRNA from 1 species